CGUGAGGCUUGUGCAGGCGCAAGGAACGCAGCGGCGGCCUCCCUGUACCCUCGGGUCACAGCUGCUAUCCUUGGUAGCCAUGGCUUCGUCGCCCAGAUACGGUGCCUUGGUGGCCGGAUCUGGUGUCUCUAAGGUUGGAUCUGCACGGUGCUUUUUCGGUAGGGCGCAACGACAGUAGUGGAGGCGCGAUGGGCCGCAGGCCACCGGUCAGUCUCCAUCGUAUGCAAGUCCUUACCGGGUGUAGGAGGCUAAGGGCAGUGCCGACGUUUUCAAGGGCGUUUGGAAGAGCAUUAGCUGGUUUCAUGUAUAGUUAGUGAUGAUGUCAUGAUAUUGAUUUUGGGCACCUGACGUGAGAGCUUUACUAUAAUAGUUUUUGCAAACUUGAAUGUAAUGAGCCUGAUGUCAAAUUCAAGAAAACAUGGCACACUAAGAUGUACUUCCCUCAAGGAAACAGGGCACACUAAAAUGUACUUCCCUCAGGAGCUUCCAUCGCCUUAGUGGGGAGAAGCACGACAUGGGUGUGAGUGCAUGCACUGGCGCAAGUGAAAUCAAAUUGGAGGAGGUUGCUAUUCUGAAUUACGUCUACACAAAGCUCUUCGACUUCAUCUCAAGGUGGAAUAUGGGUGUUGCUAAAUAAUGUGAAGCCAUGUUUUAUCUUGGAAUUUGACAGAAUAGAAAUUGGCUUUGCUGGUAGUCUCUUCGGAUUGUUUAGCUAAGUGCACAUACCUUAUUGUACGAAUAACAGUCAUUUACUGAUCUACUGACGCUCUUGCCAUGUCGAAGUAUAAAUAAUCUUUA